AAGGUUUUAAGUUAACUAAACUAAUAGCCUUCAAAGCUAUAAAUAAAAUAUACUAUUUUAAACCUUA
rnacentral:tRNA from 1 species